rnacentral:rRNA from 1 species
AGUGGCGCACGGGUGAGUAACGCGUAGAUAAUCUGCCUGAUGAUUUGGGAUAACACUUCGAAAGAGGUGCUAAUACCGGAUAAGCCCMCGGAGUCUUUGGAUUCUGCGGGAAAAGGGGGGGACCUUCGGGCCUUCUGUCAUCAGAUGAGUCUGCGUACCAUUAGCUAGUUGGUAGGGUAAUGGCCUACCAAGGCUACGAUGGUUAGCUGGUCUGAGAGGAUGAUCAGCCACACUGGAACUGAGACACGGCCCAGACUCCUACGGGAGGCAGCAGUGGGGAAUAUUGCGCAAUGGGCGAAAGCCUGACGCAGCGGCGCCGCGUGGGUGAUGAAGGCCUUCGGGUCGUAAAACCCUGUCGGGUGGAACGAAUCUCCGCCUCGCUAAUAUCGAGGCGGAUUGACGGUACCACCGAAGGAAGCCCCGGCUAACUACGUGCCAGCAGCCGCGGUAAUAC